rnacentral:rRNA from 1 species
GAUGAACGCUGGCGGCGUGCCUAAUACAUGCAAGUCGAGCGAACAGACGAGGAGCUUGCUCCUCUGACGUUAGCGGCGGACGGGUGAGUAACACGUGGAUAACCUACCUAUAAGACUGGGAUAACUUCGGGAAACCGGAGCUAAUACCGGAUAAUAUAUUGAACCGCAUGGUUCAAUAGUGAAAGACGGUUUUGCUGUCACUUAUAGAUGGAUCCGCGCCGCAUUAGCUAGUUGGUAAGGUAACGGCUUACCAAGGCGACGAUGCGUAGCCGACCUGAGAGGGUGAUCGGCCACACUGGAACUGAGACACGGUCCAGACUCCUACAGGAGGCAGCAGUAGGGAAUCUUCCGCAAAGGGCGAAAGCCUGACGGAGCAACGCCGCGUGAGUGAUGAAGGUCUUCGGAUCGUAAAACUCUGUUAUUAGGGAAGAACAAAUGUGUAAGUAACUAUGCACGUCUUGACGGUACCUAAUCAGAAAGCCACGGCUAACUACGUG